UACGGAGGGGGCCAGCGUUGUUCGGAAUUACUGGGCGUAAAGGGCGCGUAGGCGGGAUGGCAAGUCGGUCGUGAAAUCCCUCGGCUCAACCGAGGAACGUCGAUCGAUACUGCUGUUCUUGAGGAUUGCAGAGGAGACUGGAAUUCCCGGUGUAGCGGUGAAAUGUGUAGAGAUCGGGAGGAACACCGGUGGCGAAGGCGGGUCUCUGGGCAAUUCCUGACGCUGAGGCGCGAAAGCGUGGGGAGCAAACGGG
rnacentral:rRNA from 1 species